UAACGACUCUCGGCAACGGAUAUCUCGGCUCUCGCAUCGAUGAAGAACGUAGCGAACUGCGAUACUUGGUGUGAAUUGCAGAAUCCCGUGAACCAUCGAGUCUUUGAACGCAAGUUGCGCCCGAAGCUUCGGCUGAGGGCACGUUUGCCUGGGUGUCACACAUGGCGUUGCCCCUAACCCCUCGCCUUGAAUUGGGCGGGCGGGACUUGGGUGCGUACGUUGGCCUCCCGAGAUGACCUUAUCCCGGUUGGCCCAAAAUCGAGCGUUGGAGCGAUUAGCACCACGACAUUCGGUGGUUGAUGAGACCCCAAUGAUCAAUGUCGUGCGUGUCGCUCAUGCACAUGCUCCACGAAUCUACCUUUCACCAACGCGACCCCAGGUCAAGCGGGGCUACCCGCUGAGUUUAAGCAUAUCAAUAAGCGGAGGAAAAGAAACUAACAAGGAUUCCCCUAGUAACGGCGAGCGAACCGGGAAGAGCCC
rnacentral:rRNA from 2 species